CCUACGGGAGGCAGCAGUGAGGAAUAUUGGUCAAUGGGCGGGAGCCUGAACCAGCCAAGUCGCGUGAAGGAAGAAGGUACUUAGUAUUGUAAACUUCUUUUGUCGGGGAACAAAGGCGGAGACGCGUCUCCGGAUGAGUGUACCCGAAGAAAAAGCAUCGGCUAACUCCGUGCCAGCAGCCGCGGUAAUACGGAGGAUGCGAGCGUUAUCCGGAUUUAUUGGGUUUAAAGGGUGCGCAGGCGGGAGAUCAAGUCAGCGGUAAAAGGUCGGGGCUCAACCCCGGCCGGCCGUUGAAACUGGUUUUCUGGAGUUGGAGAGAAGUAUGCGGAAUUCGUGGUGUAGCGGUGAAAUGCAUAGAUAUCACGAAGAACUCCGAUUGCGAAGGCAGCAUACCGGCUCCAUACUGACGCUGAGGCACGAAAGCGUGGGGAUCGAACAGGAUUAGAUACCCUUGUAGUC
rnacentral:rRNA from 1 species